UACGGAGGGGGCUAGCGUUGUCCGAAGUUACUGGGCGUAAAGCGCGCGUAGGCGGGUUGGUAAGUCCGCUGUGAAAGCCCGGAGCUCAACUCCGGAGGGUCGGUGGAUACUGCCAGUCUUGAAGGUGCUAGGGGGAGAUGGAAUUACCGGUGUAGCGGUGAAAUGCGUAGAUAUCGGUAGGAACACCAGUGGCGAAGGCGGUCUCCUGGGGCAUUCGUUGACGCUGAGGCGCGAAAGCU
rnacentral:rRNA from 1 species